rnacentral:misc_RNA from 1 species
GAUGAAGAACGUAGUGAAAUGCGAUACUUGGUGUGAAUUGCAGAAUCCCGUGAACCAUCGAGUCUUUGAACGCAAGUUGCGCCCGAAGCCAUUAGGCCGAGGGCACGCCUGCCUGGGCAUCACACGUCGUUGCCCCCCCAUCUACUCCUUCGGGAUUGCGAGGGGCGGAUGAUGGCCUCCCGUGCGCCUCGUCGCGCGGUUGGCAUAAAUGCCAAGUCCUCGGCGACGCACGCCACGACAAUCGGUGGUUGCGAAACCUCGGUUGCCCGUCGUGUGCGGUCGUCGCGCAUCGAGGGCUCGAAAAAAUUGCCGGGCUCCGGCUCGGCUUUCAACGCGACCCCAGGUCAGGCGGGGUUACCCGCUGAAUUUAAGCAUAUCAAUAAGCGGAGGA